rnacentral:rRNA from 1 species
GACGAACGCUGGCGGCGUGCUUAACACAUGCAAGUCGAACGGAAAGGCCCUGCUUUUGUGGGGUGCUCGAGUGGCGAACGGGUGAGUAACACGUGAGUAACCUGCCCUUGACUUUGGGAUAACUUCAGGAAACUGGGGCUAAUACCGGAUAGGAGCUCCUGCUGCAUGGUGGGGGUUGGAAAGUUUCGGCGGUUGGGGAUGGACUCGCGGCUUAUCAGCUUGUUGGUGGGGUAGUGGCUUACCAAGGCUUUGACGGGUAGCCGGCCUGAGAGGGUGACCGGCCACAUUGGGACUGAGAUACGGCCCAGACUCCUACGGGAGGCAGCAGCGGGGAAUAGUGCACAAUGGGCGGAAGCCUGAUGCAGCAACGCCGCGUGCGGGAUGACGGCCUGCGGGUUGUAAACCGCUUUCGCCUGUGACGAAGCGUGAGUGACAGUAAUGGGUAAAGAAGCACCGGCUAACUACGUG